GAUCAAGCGUUGAAGGGCUUCUAACGGAUGCCUUGGCGCAGAGAGGCGAAGAAAGACGUGGCAAGCUGCGAUAAGAACCGGGGAGGCGCUAGCACCCUUUGAUCCGGUUAUUUCUGAAUGGGGAAACCCACCUUUGAUUGCCCUCUCAUUUUAGUGUUCUGCACUAAAAUGAGUUGGUGGUUUGAAAGGUAUAAUAAACUGAAUACAUAGGUUUAUUAAGCGAACCCGGGGAACUGAAACAUCUCAGUACCCGGAGGAAAGGACAUCAACCGAGACUCCGAAAGUAGUGGCGAGCGAAAUCGGACCAGGCCAGUGAUCUUGUGAUAUAAAGCCGAACAGCCUGGAAAGGCUGACCAUAGCGGGUGAUAGUCCCGUAGGCGUCAACUAGCAAGAUCCUCGAGUAGGGCGGGACACGUGCAAUCCUGUCUGAAUAUGGGGGGACCACCCUCCAAGCCUAAGUACUCCUCUGCGACCGAUAGUGAACAAGUACCGUGAGGGAAAGGUGAAAAGCACCCCGACAAGGGGAGUGAAACAGAACCUGAAAUUGGAAGCCUACAAGCAGUCGGAGCCCCCAAGCGGGGUGACGGCGUACCUUUUGUAUAAUGGGUCAGCGACUUCAUGUGCCGAGCAAGCUUAAGCCGAUAGGUGUAGGCGUAGCGAAAGCGAGUUUGAA
rnacentral:rRNA from 1 species